CAUUGACUGUUAAGGAAUUGUAAUAAGGUACAAGGAGCCAAUUGAUUGCUCAAGUGUAAACACUGUGCUCCUCAUUUAAAGUCUAAUAAUUUCCCCAAUCAAAAAGCUCUCCUGUCUAUAAAUUAUCCCACCAUCUCUCACUGAAGAAAACAGAUCCUUUCAAAAGAACCAAAAAAACUUUGAAAGAGGCAGGGUAUGGUCACAGCAACAGUCUUCCACAUGUUCGUGGCCACUCCCAUGUCCCCCAAAUCCUCUUUCAUUGCUGCAACA
rnacentral:lncRNA from 1 species